UCUAAGAUGCUGAAGGCUACUCAAUUGGGGCCACUCACAAACCUCUUUAGAGGUUUACCAACACCUCCUAAUCCACCUUCAGGACCCCUUCACAGCUCUUAGUCUGCCUUGAUGCCCUCCUUUGGCUAUCAGACUACUGAGACAGAGGGCUCCAAGAAACUAGACUUCUCCCAGGAAACUCCUCUGGGGAGAGGAAAAGGCUGGAGAGGUUUCUGGAGGACAAAAAGAGAUGUAUAACAAGUCAGAACAACAGACAAACUGAUGACAAGAUAGAAAAUUACAGAGACGGGAAGAGAAAAGAGGCACCCCAACUGAUCUCAUCAGCCAAGAGGCGAGAAUUCCAGCACACUUAAUACCACUUUCAGUGAAACCUGUCCAUUGUGGUGGCUAAUCUUAGUAGUCAAGUUGACUACAUCUGGAACCAACGAGAACCCAAGAAGCUGGGCAAAAGCCUAUGAGGGAUUUUCUUGGUUGGACGAUUUGAGGUAGGAAAACCCACCCAAAAUCUAGGUCACACCUUCUGGCUGCAGUCGAAAAAACCAGACAUGGAAAAAGGAAGCUUUUGUUUUUUGCUCAUUUGCCCUUAUACUUGCUGGCAACAUCUUUCGUGUUGUUGAUACAUUGCUUCAGUGGCAUUGGAUCUACCUCUUCAGGAUUCCAACAAAGACUGAAGACCAGCAGCUUUCUGGGAAUCCUCCAUGACACCAGCACCAGAUUGGAACCUUUGAGAUGUCCAGUCUACUAGACUGAACAACCACCAAAUUCUUGGCCUUUCUGGUGAGGGACAACCAUUGUUGAACUGCCCAGACCACAGCCUGUAAUCCACUCUAAUAAAUCAUCUAUACACAUGUGA
rnacentral:sRNA from 1 species